AGCGAACGCUGGCGGCAGGCUUAACACAUGCAAGUCGAGCGGGCAUAGCAAUAUGUCAGCGGCAGACGGGUGAGUAACGCGUGGGAACGUACCUUUUGGUUCGGAACAACUGAGGGAAACUUCAGCUAAUACCGGAUAAGCCCUUACGGAGAAAGAUUUAUCGCCGAAAGAUCGGCCCGCGUCUGAUUAGCUAGUUGGUGAGGUAAUGGCUCACCAAGGCGACGAUCAGUAGCUGGUCUGAGAGGAUGAUCAGCCACAUUGGGACUGAGACACGGCCCAAACUCCUACGGGAGGCAGCAGUGGGGAAUAUUGGACAAUGGGCGCAAGCCUGAUCCAGCCAUGCCGCGUGAGUGAUGAAGGCCCUAGGGUUGUAAAGCUCUUUUGUGCGGGAAGAUAAUGACGGUACCGCAAGAAUAAGCCCCGGCUAACUUCGUG
rnacentral:rRNA from 1 species